rnacentral:rRNA from 1 species
CUCAGAUUUGACGCUGGCGGCAGGCCUAACACAUGCAAGUCGAGCGGAUGAGAAGAGCUUGCUCUUCGAUUCAGCGGCGGACGGGUGAGUAAUGCCUAGGAAUCUGCCUGGUAGUGGGGGACAACGUUUCGAAAGGAACGCUAAUACCGCAUACGUCCUACGGGAGAAAGCAGGGGACCUUCGGGCCUUGCGCUAUCAGAUGAGCCUAGGUCGGAUUAGCUAGUUGGUGAGGUAAUGGCUCACCAAGGCGACGAUCCGUAACUGGUCUGAGAGGAUGAUCAGUCACACUGGAACUGAGACACGGUCCAGACUCCUACGGGAGGCAGCAGUGGGGAAUAUUGGACAAUGGGCGAAAGCCUGAUCCAGCCAUGCCGCGUGUGUGAAGAAGGUCUUCGGAUUGUAAAGCACUUUAAGUUGGGAGGAAGGGCAUUAACCUAAUACGUUAGUGUUUUGACGUUACCGACAGAAUAAGCACCGGCUAACUCUGUGCCAGCAGCCGCGGUAAUACAGAGGGUGCAAGCGUUAAUCGGAAUUACUGGGCGUAAAGCGCGCGUAGGUGGUUUGUUAAGUUGGAUGUGAAAGCCCCGGGCUCAACCUGGGAACUGCAUCCAAAACUGGCAAGCUAGAGUACGGUAGAGGGUGGUGGAAUUUCCUGUGUAGCGGUGAAAUGCGUAGAUAUAGGAAGGAACACCAGUGGCGAAGGCGACCACCUGGACUGAUACUGACACUGAGGUGCGAAAGCGUGGGGAGCAAACAGGAUUAGAUACCCUGGUAGUCCACGCCGUAAACGAUGUCAACUAGCCGUUGGAAUCCUUGAGAUUUUAGUGGCGCAGCUAACGCA